rnacentral:rRNA from 1 species
GAUGAACGCUGGCGGCGUGCCUAAUACAUGCAAGUCGAGCGAACAGAUGAGGAGCUUGCUCCUCUGACGUUAGCGGCGGACGGGUGAGUAACACGUGGAUAACCCACCUAUAAGACUGGGAUAACUUCGGGAAACCGGAGCUAAUACCGGAUAAUAUAUUGAACCGCAUGGUUCAAUAGUGAAAGACGGUUUUGCUGUCACUUAUAGAUGGAUCCGCGCCGCAUUAGCUAGUUGGUAAGGUAACGGCUUACCAAGGCAACGAUGCGUAGCCGACCUGAGAGGGUGAUCGGCCACACUGGAACUGAGACACGGUCCAGACUCCUACGGGAGGCAGCAGUAGGGAAUCUUCCGCAAUGGGCGAAAGCCUGACGGAGCAACGCCGCGUGAGUGAUGAAGGUCUUCGGAUCGUAAAACUCUGUUAUUAGGGAAGAACAAAUGUGUAAGUAACUAUGCACGUCUGGACGGUACCUAAUCAGAAAGCCACGGCUAACUACGU